AUUGAACGCUGGCGGCAUGCUUUACACAUGCAAGUCGAACGGCAGCGCGGGCUUCGGCCUGGCGACGAGUGGCGAACGGGUGAGUAAUGCAUCGGAAAGUGCCCAGUAGUGGGGGAUAGCCCGGCGAAAGCCGGAUUAAUACCGCAUACGACCUGAGGGUGAAAGCGGGGGACCGAAAGGCCUCGCGCUAUUGGAGCGGCCGAUGUCGGAUUAGCUAGUUGGUGGGGUAAAGGCUUACCAAGGCGACGAUCCGUAGCUGGUCUGAGAGGACGACCAGCCACACUGGGACUGGGACACGGCCCAGACUCCUACGGGAGGCAGCAGUGGGGAAUUUUGGACAAUGGGGGCAACCCUGAUCCAGCCAUGCCGCGUGCGGGAAGAAGGCCUUCGGGUUGUAAACCGCUUUUGUUCGGGAAGAAAUCCUCUGGGCUAAUACCCCGGGGGGAUGACGGUACCGGAAGAAUAAGCACCGGCUAACUACGUG
rnacentral:rRNA from 1 species